CUCAUACGUAUCGAAAUAUACAAUCAGUUCCACCCCCCCUCCUCCAGCCCGCUAACGCACACUUUAGGUAUGUACGGAUCUUAAUAUUGCAUAGCAGUGUUAUCAAGAUCAUGAAGCAUGUAGUUUAGUUGUUGACAGGGCCGGCAAUAAGUCGCGUUUCUCUCCACGAAAGUUCUAUCACAUCGUCACAAAGUUUUUGCGAGUUUAGCAUAGCUUCAUUUUAAACCGUCGUACAUCUUCGGCGGUUUCCGAAUACCGUAACGUCUCUGGAACGUUGAAGCGUUGAAGCAAGCUACCUUUCUGAUUGGUUCUGGAAGGACUGUAAGGCGGAGGCUCUAUAUAAACUGGAGUAUUCCAGGACCUACGAUUGUCUCUAACGGUAAUUCGGGUAGGAGGAAGGUAAAGCGGUACGUUGAGGGUCAUUUGAGUGCAUUUGGGGAUCCUUACUAGGACUCAGUUCCAAAUUAUCGUAAAUAGAGCAACG